rnacentral:rRNA from 1 species
AUCCUGGCUCAGGAUGAACGCUAGCUACAGGCUUAACACAUGCAAGUCGAGGGGCAGCAUGGUCUUAGCUUGCUAAGGCCGAUGGCGACCGGCGCACGGGUGAGUAACACGUAUCCAACCUGCCGUCUACUCUUGGACAGCCUUCUGAAAGGAAGAUUAAUACAAGAUGGCAUCAUGAGUCCACAUGUUCACGUGAUUAAAGGUAUUCCGGUAGACGAUGGGGAUGCGUU